CCAAAGGCUCUUUUCAGAGCCGCCCACGUACACUCGAAGAGAGCUG
rfam:Callipepla squamata strain Texas jcf7180005230543, whole genome shotgun sequence.